rnacentral:rRNA from 1 species
CCUACGGGAGGCAGCAGUGAGGAAUAUUGGUCAAUGGGCGCGAGCCUGAACCAGCCAAGUAGCGUGAAGGAUGACUGCCCUACGGGUUGUAAACUUCUUUUAUAAAGGAAUAAAGUGAGGCACGUGUGCCUUUUUGUAUGUACUUUAUGAAUACGGAUCGGCUAACUCCGUGCCAGCAGCCGCGGUAAUACGGAGGAUCCGUGCCUUGUCCGGAAUUAUUGGGUUUAAAGGGAGCGUAGAUGGGUUGUUAAGUCAGUUGUGAAAGUUUGCGGCUCAACCGUAAGAUUGCAGUUGAUACUGGCAGCCUUGAGUACAAUUGAGGUAGGCGGAAUUCGUGGUGUAGCGGUGAAAUGCUUAGAUAUCACGAAGAACUCCGAUUGCGAAGGCAGCCUACUAAACUGCCACUGACAUUGAUGCUCGAAAGUGUGGGUAUCAAACAGGAUUAGAUACCCCAGUAGUC